rnacentral:rRNA from 1 species
UCCCAGACUCCUACGGGAGGCAGCAGUGAGGAAUAUUGGUCAAUGGUCGGGAGACUGAACCAGCCAAGCCGCGUGAGGGAUGAAGGUACAGAGUAUCGUAAACCUCUUUUGUCAGGGAACAAAGGCGGGGACGCGUCCCCGGAUGAGUGUACCUGAAGAAAAAGCAUCGGCUAACUCCGUGCCAGCAGCCGCGGUAAUACGGAGGAUGCGAGCGUUAUCCGGAUUUAUUGGGUUUAAAGGGUGCGUAGGCGGAAUGCCAAGUCAGCGGUAAAAUCGCGGGGCUCAACCUCGCUCCGCCGUUGAAACUGGCGUUCUUGAGUGGGCGAGAAGUGCGCGGAAUGCGUGGUGUAGCGGUGAAAUGCAUAGAUAUCACGCAGAACUCCGAUUGCGAAGGCAGCGCACCGGCGCCCUACUGACGCUCAGGCACGAAAGCGUGGGUAUCGAACAGGAUUAGAUACCCUAGUAGA